rnacentral:rRNA from 1 species
UACGUAGGGUGCCAGCGUUAAUCGGAAUUACUGGGCGUAAAGCGUGCGCAGGCGGUUUUGUAAGUCUGUCGUGAAAGCCCCGGGCUCAACCUGGGAAUUGCGAUGGAGACUGCAAGGCUUGAAUCUGGCAGAGGGGGGUAGAAUUCCAGGUGUAGCGGUGAAAUGCGUAGAUAUCUGGAGGAAUACCGGUGGCGAAGGCGGCAUCCUGGACCGGCAUUGACGCUGAUGAGCGAAAGCUAGGGGAGCAAACGGG